GCCAGUGGUGAUGGCAAGCUGAAUACACCAGUUCCAAUCGGAUUACUGAAGUUAAGCAACGGUACGCGUGGUUAGUAUCCGGAUGGGUGACCAUCUGGGCCAAAGCGUGCUACUGGCU
rnacentral:rRNA from 1 species